UACAACUUUCGCUAUGAACCAGAAGUUAUCUGACUCCCUUGAGACUCUUAUCCAAGUAGCUUGGGGGAAGUGAAGAUAAGAAAAAAUAUAAGGUCCUUUUAUGGGAUCCCUUCCUCCCUCGCACCCGCACUUCCUAAAUGAGAAAAAGCUGCCGGGGUUCCUGGGCCUGAUGUCUUCAGGUUACGCAUGGAGUCUAAUUCAUUUCAUGGUUCUUAGAUUUCAUCUCUUCAUAAACUGUGUUUCCAGUAAUGGAAUGCCAGCUCAGAGUCUUCACGAUAAGAAGAAAUACUAUGGUCCAGAGCCUUCUUAACAUCUCCUGCACUUCAAAGACUCUGCAAUUGGCAGUGAUUCUAAUGUUUUCCUAAGCUUGGUCAAGGUGGCUACAGAAAGACAAACGUCCACAAAUCCUCACAGAUGGAAGUUUUCCACUGGCCUAUUUUGGUAUAAAUAUUCAUCAAGGGCUAGAAAAUUAAACUAGAUAUGGGUCUGA